CACGUAGGGCGCAAGCGUUGUCCGGAAUUAUUGGGCGUAAAGAGCUCGUAGGCGGUCUGUUGCGUCCGCUGUGAAAACUCGGGGCUUAACCCCGAGCCUGCAGUGGAUACGGGCAGACUAGAGGUAGGUAGGGGAGAAUGGAAUUCCCGGUGUAGCGGUGAAAUGCGCAGAUAUCAGGAGGAACACCGGUGGCGAAGGCGGGUCUCUGGGCCGAAAUUGACGCUGAGGAGCGAAAGCGUGGGGAGCAAACAGG
rnacentral:rRNA from 1 species